UGCGGUACUCUGACCGUGCAAAGGUAGCAUAAUCAUUUGCCUUAUAAUUGAAGGCUAGUAUGAAUGGUUUGACGAGAAUUAAGCUGUCUCUAUUCAAUUAAGUAUAAUUUUAUCUUCAGGUGAAGAAGCCUGUAUUUCACUGAAAGACAAGAAGACCCUGUCGAGCUUUAAAUAAAUUAGCAAAUAAGUCACAUGUUUAUAAAAAAACUAGAUUGCUAAGAAUUUUGGUUGGGGCGACUGAGGAACAAAAAAAGCUUCCUCUCAUUUUUAAAACUGACAAGUGUUGAUCCAGUGUUAUUGAUUAAAGGAAUUAGUUACCGCAGGGAUAACAGCAUAAUCCUCUUUGAGAGUUCUCAUCGAAAAGAGGGCUUGUGACCUCGAUGUUGGACCAGAAUUUCCGGAAGAUGCAGCCGUCUUCAAAGGUUGGUCUGUUCGACCAUUAAAAUUCUACGUGAA
rnacentral:rRNA from 1 species